GCCAAUCAAUCAUUUUCCCACAAAUAGUGAGAAGUACCGAAGCACAGGAAAAUGUAUGCUAGCAAUUCUAGCACGAGACACUCCUCUCUCCUCUCCAACAGCAAUAGAACCAAUGAAAUCCUCCAAGUCCCAUGGACGAGGGUCACGGAUAUCCCCAACAUAAGGUAAUUUGCAUACAUUGCAAAAAUCCUGUAGCGUCAUGCACUGGGAAACAUCGUAUAUCAUGAACUCAACCAUGGGAGGAUUCUUCCUCGGAUAAAAGUUGAAGCUUUGAACAAAAAUAUUGGUGAGGAGGAGAUAUUGUGGGCACUUAUCUUCAACGAACGCAGUAAGAC
rnacentral:lncRNA from 1 species